rnacentral:rRNA from 1 species
GAUGAACGCUGGCGGCGUGCCUAAUACAUGCAAGUCGAGCGAACAGACGAGGAGCUUGCUCCUCUGACGUUAGCGGCGGACGGGUGAGUAACACGUGGAUAACCUACCUAUAAGACUGGGAUAACUUCGGGAAACCGGAGCUAAUACCGGAUAAUAUAUUGAACCGCAUGGUUCAAUAGUGAAAGACGGUUUUGCUGUCACUUAUAGAUGGAUCAGCGCCGCAUUAGCUAGUUGGUAAGGUAACGGCUUACCAAGGCAACGAUGCGUAGCCGACCUGAGAGGGUGAUCGGCCACACUGGAACUGAGACACGGUCCAGACUCCUACGGGAGGCAGCAGUAGGGAAUCUUCCGCAAUGGGCGAAAGCCUGACGGAGCAACGCCGCGUGAGUGAUGAAGGUCUUCGGAUCGUAAAACUCUGUUAUUAGGGAAGAACAAAUGUGUAAGUAACUAUGCACGUCUUGACGGUACCUAAACAGAAAGCCACGGCUAACUACGUG